rnacentral:rRNA from 1 species
AUGCCUACGGGGGGCAGCAGUGGGGAAUAUUGCACAAUGGGGGAAACCCUGAUGCAGCGACGCCGCGUGAGUGAAGAAGUAUUUCGGUACGUAAAGCUCUAUCAGCAGGGAAGAAAAUGACGGUACCUGACUAAGAAGCCCCGGCUAACUACGUGCCAGCAGCCGCGGUAAUACGUAGGGGGCAAGCGUUAUCCGGAUUUACUGGGUGUAAAGGGUGCGUAGGUGGCAGGGCAAGUCAGAUGUGAAAGCCCGGGGCUCAACCCCGGUACUGCAUUUGAAACUGUCCAGCUGGAGUGCAGGAGAGG